rnacentral:rRNA from 1 species
GACGAACGCUGGCGGUGUGCUUAACACAUGCAAGUGGAGCGACGAACCAGGGCUUGCCCUGGGGCAAAGCCGCGAACGGGUGAGUAACACGUGGGUAACCUGCCCCGAUGACUGGGACAACCCGAGGAAACUCGGGCUAAUACCGGAUGUGCUCCUCCCUCACGAGAGGGUUGAGCAAAGGAAGCUUCGGCCUCCGCAUCGGGAGGGGCCCGUGGCCCAUUAGCUUGUUGGUGGGGUAACGGCCCACCAAGGCUGCGAUGGGUAGCUGGUCUGAGAGGACGAUCAGCCACACUGGGACUGAGACACGGCCCAGACUCCUACGGGAGGCAGCAGUGGGGAAUCUUGCGCAAUGCGCGACAGCGUGACGCAGCAACACCGCGUGGGGGAAGAAGGCCUUCGGGUUGUAAACCCCUUUCAGGAGGGACGAAGGCCGGCCGGUGAAUAGCCGUGCCGGUUGACGGUACCUCCACAAGAAGCCCCGGCUAACUACGUG